GGAGGCUGACAAACCUCACAGAAGAAAGGGAGAGAAAACAUACACCUGUGACGAGUGUGGGAAGGACUUUAGGCACAAUGGAAGCUUAAAAAAACACCAGCUCAUCCACAGUGGAGUUAAAGCGCAUACUUGUGAUAAGUGUGGGAAGAAAUUUGCUUUGAAGGCUAAUCUAAAACUUCAUCAGGUCAUCCACACUGGAGAGAGACCGUUCAGCUGUGACUUGUGUGGAAAGUCUUUUUCCUGGAAGGGUUCCCUAAAAGAACACCAACUCAUCCACAGUGGAGUUAAACUGUACAGCUGUGAUCAGUGUGGCAGAGCUUUUACUCAAAGUAGUCAACUACAGAGUCAUCUACUUACCCACUCUGGAAUUAAGGCAUACAGCUGUGACAUUUGUGGGAAGGAUUUUGCUCUGAAGGCUUCACUAGAACGUCAUCAGUUCAUCCACACUGGAGAGAGACCAUUCAGCUGUGACAUCUGUGGAAAAACUUUUAGCCAGAGAGGGUACCGAAAUACACACCUACGCAUUCACACCGGAGAUGAUGUGUACUGCUGUGAACAGUGUGGCAAAUACUUUGCUAGAGACGCACACUUACAACGACACAUGUUUACCCACACUGAGGAGAGACCUUAUAAAUGUGACUUGUGUGAGAAGACUUUUAAAUCUCCACAUUCCCUGAGACAACACCAACAGAUCCACACCAGAAAGAGACUCUACAAGUACAGUUACUGUGAGAAGCAGAGCGACACAGAUGGAUCCAGUUAUCAACCCUGUCAUCACUGUGGUGGUGGGAAAGACUUUCAUUGUGACCUCUGUGGAAAAACUUUCAGUCGGCAAGACAGCCUAAAAAUACAUCAACGUAGACACACUGGAGACAAACUGAAAUACUGCAAAGAAUGUGGGAGAAGCUUCACCACAUCAUGUGACUUAAAACGACAUGAACUGAUUCACAGUGGGGUUAAAAAGCACCUCUGUGAUCAGUGUGGGUCAUCCUUCACCACUGCAGGUCAGGUUAAAAAACACAAACGAGUCCACACAGGAGAGAAACCAUACAAGUGCAGACACUGUGACAAAAGCUUCUCACAUUCAACUACUUGUAACAGGCAUGAACGUGCACACAUGGAAGGAAACUACAGCUGUGACCAGUGUGACAAGAGCUUCAGGAAUCUCAGUUCAUACUCCGAACACAAACGAUCCCACGUUACUAAUAAACUGUUUCACUGUUACCAA